rnacentral:lncRNA from 1 species
UCCCCUUUGACGAGCUUGCGCCCGAGGAAUCUCAGCCCAUCACAUUCCUUAAACAAGUAAUGCCUGAUUAUGCUUGAGCCAUCAUGCUAUGCCAUUAAGCUUCAACAACUGCCAUUUUUGGUCCAAAUUCUCUCCCAAGUUAGGUUUCCUAGCACACCCAAUAUUCAUUGUAUCUCAUAUAUAUCAUUCCAUGAAUAUUAUGAUGCAUUGCUCACUGUCUUUAUGCAGAUGCAAAUUCAUUAUCUAAAGUAGCAGCAUAGGCUUAUGUGAUGGUUUUCUUUUGAAAACUGCAUGUUAUUGGAUGAGAAUGCACUGUUGAGAAGAAGAAAAAAAACUAAGGAUGUUUUUCUUGGAAACUUGACCUUUUCUUUGUUGAUGGGUUGACUGUGAUUUAUUGCAUACCAUAUUAAAUAAAUCAUUGAAACAUCAAUCUUAAGGGAGCUGGCAUUACCCAAUAAUUUGUGGAGUGCACAAAUGUUAAAUUAUUGUUGAUGCAUUAAUUUUUAAACCUUGGUUUCAGCUAUUAGUUAUCUCAUUUGUUGUGCAAAUCGCCGGCCGAAGUCAAUUAUGUACAACUUGUUAUGUAUAUUUAAUAUUUUGUGGGGUUGCCUAAGUUGGGAUCUGCUCCCACCACACCAGUUUCAAAUUUAAAUUUAGUGGGAUACAGAUUAGAUUAUGCAAAGAAUUUGUGACAUUAUUAAAUUCAACAGAGAUUGAGGCUAACCUUUCAACAAAAGAUGUUGCCGUCGUCAAACCCUUCAAUUGAUGGAGUAGACGUAGUAAAUUUAUUCAAAGAAAUAGAAAUUUUCCUGCAAGAAAUUAUAUUUUAAAU